rnacentral:rRNA from 1 species
UACAGAGGUCUCAAGCGUUGUUCGGAUUCAUUGGGCGUAAAGGGUGCGUAGGUGGUGGGGUAAGUCGGAUGUGAAAUCCCGGGGCUCAACCCCGGAACUGCAUUCGAAACUGCCUUGCUCGAGUACUGGAGAGGAGACUGGAAUUUACGGUGUAGCAGUGAAAUGCGUAGAUAUCGUAAGGAAGACCAGUGGCGAAGGCGAGUCUCUGGACAGUUACUGACACUGAGGCACGAAGGCCAGGUGAGCAAACGGG